CAGUCGCCACGGGAAUACGUAGGGUGCGAGCGUUAAUCGGAAUUACUGGGCGUAAAGCGUGCGCAGGCGGUUCGUUAAGACAGAUGUGAAAUCCCCGGGCCUAACCUGGGAACUGCAUUUGUGACUGUAUAGCUAGAGUACGGUAGAGGGGGAUGGAAUUCCGCGUGUAGCAGUGAAAUGCGUAGAUAUGCGGAGGAACACCGAUGGCGAAGGCAGCCCCCUGGGCCAAUACUGACGCUCAUGCACGAAAGCGUGGGGAGCAAACAGGAUUAGAUACCCGGGUAGUCCCUGUCUCUUAUAA
rnacentral:rRNA from 1 species